rnacentral:lncRNA from 1 species
UCCUCUUCUUCCUCUUCCUCCUCCUCUUUCGCCAUAUAACCGGAUCGGACAAGAGAUUGCGUUCUUCUCCUGCCUGACAGCCGCUCGCCUCCCCCGCCGGCGGCCCUUCCGACGGGACCGGUCGUUGAUGUCCCGCCGUCUCUGCUGAGCCGAGCUUUUGACGAAACAGACAUGGCGGCGGCGCCAUGUGAUCCUCCAUCGGCGUACGGCCAAAUCGUAAAGGAAAAAGCUC